UGAUGUUUAGAAGUGUUUCUCAAUCCCCUUAUACAUCCCUAUAAAUUUCUCUUACUAGGAUUACCAUUUCCUCUCUCACUAAAUUAUGAGUUAACUAAAAAAAUAGAAUUAACUAAAUUAUGAUUCCACACACAGGAGGUGCCUGUGUUAAAUUUUGGGGGUUUGAAAAUUUAUAGUUUAAAACAUAAUUAUUUUUUGAACCAAAGUUAAAUCUUUUUCCAAAAGAAACAUUUGGAUAUGUAGCGAAAAAUCAAUGUAAAGAAAAUAAGCGUAAAAUAAAGAGUUAAUGGAAGAGAUAUGACAUAUGAGAUUUAUGGAGGUUUAGUCUAAAUUAAGUGACCUAGUCCUCUCCCCAAGGACUGAUCUUGAAAGUUUUCAAUAACUAGGGAUGAAAAUGAGUCGAGUCGAAUCAAACUCGCCCUUGCUCAUCUCGACUCGAUAAUAAUUGAUUCAGCUCAAAACUAGACUCAAAUUUGGCAUGAAUUUUUUUAAAAUUCAAAUUCGACUCAUUUUAACUUCAUAAACAAC
rnacentral:lncRNA from 1 species